rnacentral:rRNA from 1 species
GAUGAACGCUCGCGGCAGGCCUAACACAUGCAAGUCGAGGGAUAAGCCUUCGGGCUAAGCCCGGCGCACGGGUGCGUAACGCGUAUACAAUCUGCCUUUUAUCCGGGGGAUAGCCCGAAGAAAUUUGGAUUAAUACCCUAUGGUAUAAGAGCACGGCAUCGUGCACUUAUUAAAGCUACGGCGGUAAAAGAUGAGUAUGCGUUCUAUUAGCUAGUUGGAGAGGUAACGGCUCCCCAAGGCGACGAUAGAUAGGGGUUCUGAGAGGGAUGUCCCCCACACUGGUACUGAGAUACGGACCAGACCCCUACGGGAGGCAGCAGUGAGGAAUAUUGGACAAUGGUCGGAAGACUGAUCCAGCCAUGCCGCGUGCAGGAUGACGGCCUUAUGGGUUGUAAACUGCUUUUGGAAGGGAAGAAUAAGGAGUACGUGUACUUUGAUGACGGUACCUUACGAAUAAGCAUCGGCUAACUCCGUG